rnacentral:rRNA from 1 species
UACGAAGGGGGCUAGCGUUGUUCGGAAUUACUGGGCGUAAAGCGCACGUAGGCGGAUAUUUAAGUCAGGGGUGAAAUCCCGGGGCUCAACCCCGGAACUGCCUUCGAUACUGGGUAUCUAGAGUCCGGAAGAGGUGAGUGGAAUUCCGAGUGUAGAGGUGAAAUUCGUAGAUAUUCGGAGGAACACCAGUGGCGAAGGCGGCUCACUGGUCCGGUACUGACGCUGAGGUGCGAAAGCGUGGGGAGCAAACAGG